rnacentral:rRNA from 1 species
AAUGCAUCGGAACGUGUCCUUAAGUGGGGAAUAACGCAUCGAAAGAUGUGCUAAUACCGCAUAUCUCUCAGGAGGAAAGCAGGGGAUCGCAAGACCUUGCGCUAAAGGAGCGGCCGAUGUCUGAUUAGCUAGUUGGUGGGGUAAAGGCCUACCAAGGCAACGAUCAGUAGCUGGUCUGAGAGGACGAUCAGCCACACUGGGACUGAGACACGGCCCAGACUCCUACGGGAGGCAGCAGUGGGGAAUUUUGGACAAUGGGCGAAAGCCUGAUCCAGCCAUGCCGCGUGAGUGAAGAAGGCCUUCGGGUUGUAAAGCUCUUUUAGUUGGAAAGAAAGAAUUAUAGUUAAUAGCUAUAAUUUAUGACGGUACCAACAGAAAAAGCACCGGCUAACUACGUGCCAGCAGCCGCGGUAAUACGUAGGGUGCGAGCGUUAAUCGGAAUUACUGGGCGUAAAGGGUGCGCAGGCGGCCAUGCAAGUCAGAUGUGAAAGCCCCGGGCUUAACCUGGGAAUUGCGUUUGAAACUGCAAGGCUAGAGUGCAACAGAGGGGAGUGGAAUUCCAUGUGUAGCAGUGAAAUGCGUAGAGAUGUGGAAGAACACCGAUGGCGAAGGCAGCUCCCUGGGUUGACACUGACGCUCAUGCACGAAAGC